rnacentral:misc_RNA from 1 species
CCGAGUUUACAACUCCCAAACCCAUGUGAACAUUACCUCUAUGUUGCUUCGGCGGAGCCGCCCCGGCGCCCGGAACCCCCUGCGGUCCCGCGGCCCGGAACCAAGGCGCCCGCCGGAGGCCACAAACUCUUCUGUUUUUACAGUUUCUUCUGAGUGUGCCGCAAGGCAGUAUACAAAUGAAUCA